GACGAACGCUGGCGGCGUGCCUAAUACAUGCAAGUAGAACGCUGAAGGAGGAGCUUGCUUCUCUGGAUGAGUUGCGAACGGGUGAGUAACGCGUAGGUAACCUGCCUGGUAGCGGGGGAUAACUAUUGGAAACGAUAGCUAAUACCGCAUAACAGUAGAUGUUGCAUGACAUUUGCUUAAAAGGUGCAAUUGCAUCACUACCAGAUGGACCUGCGUUGUAUUAGCUAGUUGGUGGGGUAACGGCUCACCAAGGCGACGAUACAUAGCCGACCUGAGAGGGUGAUCGGCCACACUGGGACUGAGACACGGCCCAGACUCCUACGGGAGGCAGCAGUAGGGAAUCUUCGGCAAUGGACGGAAGCCUGACCGAGCAACGCCGCGUGAGUGAAGAAGGUUUUCGGAUCGUAAAGCUCUGUUGUAAGAGAAGAGCGAGUGUGAGAGUGGAAAGUUCACACUGUGACG
rnacentral:rRNA from 1 species